CCGACCGGAGUACAUUGCCAACGACCACUUGCCUCCCUUAAUUUGCUCUGUCGUUUAAACAUCAUUCACCACCACCCAAUGCCAAUGGGUUCAAAGUACCUGUUGCUCUGCCUCUGCACCCUCCUAGUGCUCUCAGGAGCCAUCGCUAGAGAUAUCCCCGCCUCCGGAGCCGCCCCCUUUGCUCAUGCGGCGGCUCCCAAGGACGACGCCGGCACCCACGGUGUUGAUGUUGGGGAGCAAAAGCCGCGGCUUCCACCUAGAAUCCGCUGCCCGUUCCCCCCCUUUUGCCGCGGCGCUACACCUCCAUGAAAACAAGAUUACGGUGGCAAUGUAACCAUGCUACCCUGGUGCGGGAAUAAAUAAUCAAAUCAGAUCUCGCUUGAAACUAUAUAUACGUGUAUUUUUUAAUCUCCUUGCUCCUCUCAACAUGUUAUGCAUGUAACCAUCGUGCUUAUCGGUCCUACUAUGUUAAACCAUGUGCCCCCCUUCUUGUAAUGUACACCCUUCUAUCCCCUCCCUUCAUGUAAUGUGAUGUAUGUUAUCCACUUGAAUAAAUCGCGCCAGAGAAUCAUCAUA